rnacentral:rRNA from 1 species
GUAGGGAAUAUUGCGCAAUGGGGGAAACCCUGACGCAGCGACGCCGCGUGAGUGAUGAAGGCCUUCGGGUCGUAAAGCUCUGUUGCAGGGGAAUAAAAAAAUGAAGGUACCCUGUGAGGAAGGAUCGGCUAACUUCGUGCCAGCAGCCGCGGUAAGACGAGGGAUCCUAGCGUUGCUCGGAAUCAUUGGGCGUAAAGAGGGCGUAGGUGGCUUGGUAAGUCAGGUGUGAAAGCCAAGGGCUCAACCCUGGAAGUGCAUUUGAUACUGCUGAGCUUGAGUGUCGGAGAGGUUACCGGAAUACCUGGUGUAGUGGUGAAAUACGUAGAUAUCAACAGGAAUACCGGAGGCGAAGGCGAGUAACUGGGCCAACACUGACGCUGAGACCCGAAAGCGUGGGGAUCAAACAGGAUUAGAUACCCUGGUAGUCC